UUAAAGGAAUUGACGGAAGGGCACCACCAGGAGUGGAGCCUGCGGCUUAAUUUGACUCAACACGGGAAACCUCACCAGGCCCGGACACCGGGAGGAUUGACAGAUUGAGAGCUCUUUCUUGAUUCGGUGGGUGGUGGUGCAUGGCCGUUCUUAGUUGGUGGAGCGAUUUGUCUGGUUAAUUCCGAUAACGAACGAGACUCUAGCCUGCUAACUAGUCGCUUCCGGUAUCCCCUGUGCUACCGGCGACUCCUG
rnacentral:rRNA from 1 species